rnacentral:rRNA from 1 species
GACGAACGCUGGCGGCGUGCUUAACACAUGCAAGUCGAACGGAAAGGCCCUGCUUGCAGGGUGCUCGAGUGGCGAACGGGUGAGUAACACGUGGGUGAUCUGCCCCUUACUUUGGGAUAAGCCUGGGAAACUGGGUCUAAUACUGGAUAGGACCAUGCUGUAGGUGGUGUGGUGGAAAGAUUAGUUUCGGUAAGGGAUGAGCUCGCGGCCUAUCAGCUUGUUGGUGGGGUAAUGGCCUACCAAGGCGUCGACGGGUAGCCGGCCUGAGAGGGUGGACGGCCACAUUGAGACUGAGAUACGGCCCAGACUCCUACGGGAGGCAGCAGUGGGGAAGAUUGCACAAUGGGCGCAAGCCUGAUGCAGCGACGCCGCGUGGGGGAUGACGGCCUUCGGGUUGUAAACUCCUUUCAGCCAUGACGAAGCCCUUGUGGUGACGGUAGUGGAAGAAGAAGCACCGGCUAACUACGUG